rnacentral:rRNA from 1 species
CCCACUGGCGGCCAGCUACACAUGCAGUCGAACGAAGUAGCAAUACUUAGUGGCAGACGGGUGAGUAACAUGUAGGUAUCUGCCCUUUGGCCUGGAAUAACACGAGGAAACUUGUGCUAAUACCGGAUAAGUCUUUACGGAGAAAGCUUUAUGCACCAUUGGAUGAGCCUGCACUUGAUUAGUUUGUUGGUAGGGUAAUGGCCUACCAAGACUGUGAUCAAUAGCUGAUUUGAGAGGAUGAUCAGCCACAUUGGGACUGAGACACGGCCCAAACUCCUACGGGAGGCAGCAGUGGGGAAUCUUGCGCAAUGGAGGAAACUCUGAUGCAGCGAUGCCGCGUGAGUGAAGAAGGCCUUUGGGUUGUAAAGCUCUUUCGUCGGGGAAGAAAAUGACUGUACCCGAAUAAGAAGGUCCGGCUAACUUCGUGCCAGCAGCCGCGGUAAUACGAAGGGACCUAGCGUAGUUCGGAAUUACUGGGCUUAAAGAGUUCGUAGGUGGUUGAAAAAGUUAGUGGUGAAAUCCCAGAGCUUAACUCUGGAACUGCCAUUAAAACUUUUCAGCUAGAGUAUGAUAGAGGAAAGCAGAAUUUCUAGUGUAGAGGUGAAAUUCGUAGAUAUUAGAAAGAAUACCAAUUGCGAAGGCAGCUUUCUGGAUCAUUACUGACACUGAGGAACGAAAGCAUGGGUAGCGAAGAGGAUUAGAUACCCUCGUAGUCCAUGCCGUAAACGAUGUGUGUUAGACGUUGGAAAUUUAUUUUCAGUGUCGCAGGGAAACCGAUAAACACACCGCCUGGGGAGUACGACCGCAAGGUUAAAACUCAAAUGAAUUGACGGGGACCCGCACAAGUAGUGGAGCAUGUGGUUUAAUUCGAAGAUACGCGCAGAACCUUACCAACACUUGACAUGUUCGUCGCGACUCUAAGAGAUUAGAGUUUUCGGUUCGGCCGGACGAAACACAGGUGCUGCAUGGCUGUCGUCAGCUCGUGUCGUGAGAUGUUGGGUUAAGUCCCGCAACGAGCGCAACCCUCACUUUUAGUUGCCAUCAUUAAGUUGGGCACUCUGAAAGAACUGCCAGUGAUAAGCUGGAGGAAGGUGGGGAUGACGUCAAGUCCUCAUGGCCCUUACGUGUUGGGCUACACACGUGCUACAAUGGUAUCUACAACAGGAAGCAAGACUGCGAAGUUAAGCAAAUCCCUAAAAGAUACCUCAGUUCGGAUUGCACUCUGCAACUCGAGUGCAUGAAGCUGGAAUUACUAGUAAUCGUGGAUCAGCGUGCCACGGUGAAUGCGUUCCCGGGUCUUGUACACACCGCCCGUCACACCAUGGGAGUUGGUUCUACCUUAAGGCAAGGUUUAAAACCCCUGACCAUCGGUAUUACGACGGU